UGCGCGCGCGCACACAUGCACACAAAAAACAACAGGAAAUCUAACGCUUUACUAGCGAAAGUUAUCAGUAAGGCAAAGUGCUGUAAUGGAAACGCGGGACUCUUCAGGAUCCAGAUGUCAAAACUCCUUUCCUUGAUACCAUAUACGAAUAUGAAUCGCCGCCUUACCCAAGGAGUAUGAAUGGGACUGAGAAGAAUGCUUUCUUUGGUUCCUAAGAAAACUUCCUUGCCAGGGAUGGAGAUGAUUCCAGAGGGGCAGUCUAUUCACCUUGAAACAACAACAGCAUCUAUGACUUAGCUGGACUAUAAAGAAGGCUGAUCGCUGAAGAAUUAAUGCUUUUGAAUUAUGGUGCUGGAGGAGACUCUUGAGAGUCCCAUGGACUGCAAGAAGAUCAAACCAUUCUUAAGGAAAUCAGCCCUGAGUGCUCACUGGAAGGACAGAUUCUGAAGCUGAGGCUCCAAUACUUUGGCCACCUCAUGAAAAGAGAAGACUCCCUGGAAAAGACCCUGAUGCUGGGUAAA